rnacentral:rRNA from 1 species
UACGAAGGGAGCUAGCGUUGUUCGGAAUCACUGGGCGUAAAGCGCACGUAGGCGGAUGUGUCAGUCAGGGGUGAAAUCCCGGAGCUCAACUUCGGAACUGCCCUUGAUACAGCACGUCUUGAGUCCGGAAGAGGUGGGUGGAAUUCCUAGUGUAGAGGUGAAAUUCGUAGAUAUUAGGAAGAACACCAGUGGCGAAGGCGGCUCACUGGCCCGUUACCGACGCUCAGGCGCGACAGCGUGGGGAGCAAACAGG